rnacentral:rRNA from 1 species
UGCAUUUGAAACUGGUUGACUAGAGUUUUGUAGAGGGUGGUAGAAUUUCAGGUGUAGCGGUGAAAUGCGUAGAGAUCUGAAGGAAUACCAGUGGCGAAGGCGGCCACCUGGACAAAGACUGACACUGAGGCGCGAAGGCGUGGGGAGCAAACGGGAUUAGAUACCCCGGUAGUCCACGCAGUAAACGAUGUCUAUUAGAAGUUUGUGGCUAUAUGCCGUGGGUUUCAAAGCUAACGCAUUAAAUAGACCGCCUGGGGAGUACGGCCGCAAGGUUAAAACUCAAAUGAAUUGACGGGGGCCCGCACAAGCGGUGGAGCAUGUGGUUUAAUUCGAUGCAACGCGAAGAACCUUACCAUCCCUUGACAUCCAGAGAAUCACCUAGAGAUAGAUGAGUGCCUUCGGGAACUCUGAGACAGGUGCUGCAUGGCUGUCGUCAGCUCGUGUUGUGAAAUGUUGGGUUAAGUCCCGCAACGAGCGCAACCCUUAUCCUUAGUUGCCAGCACGUAAUGGUGGGAACUCUAGGGAGACUGCCGGUGAUAAACCGGAGGAAGGUGGGGACGACGUCAAGUCAUCAUGGCCCUUACGGGAUGGGCUACACACGUGCUACAAUGGCAAAUACAAAGGGUUGCUAACCUGCGAGGGUAUGCGAAUCUCAUAAAGUUUGUCGUAGUCCGGAUCGGAGUCUGCAACUCGACUCCGUGAAGUUGGAAUCGCUAGUAAUUGUGGAUCAGAAUGCCACGGUGAAUACGUUCCCGGGCCUUGUACACACCGCCCGUCACACCAUGGGAGUGGGCUGCACCAGAAGUCAUUAGCUUAACCUUCGGGAUGGCGAUGACCACGGUGUGGUUCAUGACUGGGGUGAA